rnacentral:rRNA from 1 species
AUGGUCCAGGUGAAUAGACUUAUGCACCAUCUGGAUGGUAAUUUUGUGGAGAGUAUUUGCGCUCCGAGUUUGGGGUUGUUGCCAAAAAUUCAGUUGGCGACCUCCUUACCUCCUCUUGAGAUUAUAUUGAUAAAGCAGAGCUUCAAAUGUGUCUCGCUGGUUUGUAUAUCGAUAUCACUCUUCAUAGGUCUGUUUAUUUUGGAAAUUGAUUGCUCUUUUGUGGUUUCUUUCCUAGCACAUGAUACCCUUAAUAGGUUGUCCCUCGUUGAUUUGAAGAAGAAGGCUUUAGUCGUCACAAAGCCACUUCCAAAUUUUAAGCCGGCAAAGAUAAACAAGCAGGCCAAUGUGGUGGCACACGAGAUAGCUAAGUUUAGAUUUGUUAAUAGAUCGAAUGGUUUUUGUGUUGAGGUGCGAGAAUCAACUUUUGACCAUGGGGUAUCCAUGGUAGCGUGGUCAGAAAUUAGCGAGGGUGUGUACGACUCGUCGUACACUUAA